rnacentral:rRNA from 1 species
GCGCAGCAGGCGCGAAACCUCCGCAAUGCUCGAAAGAGCGACGGGGGGACUCCAAGUGCCUACGCUCAGCGUAGGCUGUUCCCGAGCCUAAAAAGCUCGGGGAGUAAGGGCUGGGUAAGACGGGUGCCAGCCGCCGCGGUAAUACCCGCAGCCCGAGUGGUGGCCGCUAUUAUUGGGCCUAAAGCGUCCGUAGCCGGCUCGGUAAAUGCUUGGGUAAAAUCGUCUGGCCCAACCAGACGAAUUCCGGGUAGACUGCCGGGCUAGGGACCGGAGGAGGGAGAGGGUACUCCAGGGGUAGGGGUGAAAAUCAGCAAAGGUGAGUUGCUG